AACUACCAAAAUAUAUUAGGAAGGAAAAGAAAAAGGGAAACCAUAUAUAUAAUUGUUUCAUACAUGAAAUUGAACUUACUAACCUUCACAGACAAGUCUGCAAAUCCAUAGCUACCUACCGUUACCAGCUGCAAAAACAAGUACCAAAAGCAGCCUCCAUGAACAUCCUCUUAAGUUUUCAGAGCCCCUUCUUUAAUUUUCUCUCAAUCAAUGAAUUAAUGGGAAGAAAAAUCUCCAUCACAGCCAUAUAUAUCUGUUUAUCAUACAAAAUGAUGGAGCUUAGCUUUGCAUAUCCCAAAAUCUGAUUAUGCUUUUCUAUUUGAUAUUUGCUCCCUGGAAAAUUAAGUUGUCCUCUUAAAAUGAUGGCCUUGCACCACUCCCAUCCCAUCCAAACAAAUCACCGGAAAAUGGAUACACAUUCCCUCCCGUGUUAAAAAAACCACUACCGCUGCCGCUGCCACUACCGCUGCCUCGUCCUCCACCAUCUCCCAGCUGCCCAGACCCACCACCUCCUGUCACACCUGAAGACUGUGACGCCGUGGACUGACCUUGAACGUUUCCUUCCUCCUCCUCCAAGGGCAAUCGCUCAAACACAGCGUUUGCAAAUGAUGCAGCCAUCAAAACCACCGGCCCAGAAGCCAACAAAGGUCCUACCACGCUUCCUCCAACAACCUGUCCCUGUCCACCAGACAAGAAUAUCGACAAUCCCCCUGCCCCAGGAGGCGCUGGUGGAGGAAGCACCGUUCCAGAGAGCGAAAGAAUCUCGAACCGACCGUGCAAAGUCACUACACUAGCCGCAGGAGACCCUGGUUGCUUCAAUGUAACAUUAACAACUGUCCCGUUGCCGCUAAGUACACAGACUCCUCUUCCUCUUUUCCUCGCGUAAUUGGAUACGCUCUCCAUGAUGUCACUGCCGGCGGAAACCUCUAGCACAUGGGAUCGAAGGGCAUUAGGGCUGUCACGCGUUACGAUAAUCGGGGGCUUGGGUUUGUUCUUGGAGCCAGGAGGGCGGCCUCGAGGGCGGCGAUUGCUUCCAGAGCUGGUGGGGGCGACGUCGGUAUCAUCUGGCUUGUGGUCUUCGGCUUGAGGUGAGGUAUUUUCUUUAGAAUCCGGGGAUGUUUGGGCUGGAAUCGAAAGUCUUUGGAGAAGUAGCUCAGGUCUGAGGAGCUGAUGAACAUAGCGAGAACCUGCACCUGUUGCUGCUGGCUCAUACCCCGCCAUCGCCACAUCUACUCUCUCCCACCACUUAUUUGCCAGCUUUCUCUUCUUCGCUUCUCACCCGAUCUGAUUCUCACAAGAAAUUAAGCUUUUCUGUCCAGCGAGAGAGAGACCAACAAGAUCCACCGAAGAAUUGAAUAAUUCCUUCUAAUUAGCUCACACUGGUUUAGCUUUCAAGAAAUGAAGUUGGAGAAUUGUUCUUUUGUAAUCCCAAGUGAUCAAAGAGAGGAUCCAGGAGCUAGAGAUCAGUUACUAAUCCUCGGACACUUUAACUUGAAUUCUCUCUGACUUCAUACCCACAAAAUCACAAGUCCCGAAAUAGAGCUGACAAAGCUAUAAUUCAUCAACAACCGCUUUCCGAUGUAGUAAAACCCUCAAAAGAGUUAUAUAUUAAAGCCAAAGCUUAUAAUUCUGGUCAUGUUUAGCAGUUUUUGUGAAAGAGGAAAUUGGUUUGCAUCCCAAAACAGGAAUAUCAGAUCUUUCAAAGGGAAGAAAAUAACAGAUCAGAUUGAUGAUAUAGAUAUGCACUUAAAGCAACCAAAAAAGACUAUACAUAUAUAUUUACAAUUACUUGAAGAUGAAGAGAGAAGAGAGACUUAUCAGUGAAAAUUGUGGGAUAGUUGAGCUGUGAAGAGAAAAAAGAAAAGAAAAGAGAAGCAGAAAGGAAUAUUGAAAACUGUUUAGGUUAACAAGAAUGAAGGAGUUUGGAUAGCGAGAAAGAAGAUUGAUCAGGGAAGAGAAAGACAUGAUAAUAAGAGAGUUUUCGAGGGGAAAAUGGUGGAAAAGCGUGCGGUAAAAGCAGAAUCCAAGCAAUUUCCUUGAAAACAAGGGCCUUCGCUCUUUUGACCUCAUUUGCC
rnacentral:misc_RNA from 1 species